rnacentral:lncRNA from 1 species
UGCCUUCAUGCUAAGAGUUCAAGGGACUGUCCCCUCUCACCUAAGACAAGGUACAGUUUUUGAUCUGUCUUACACAUUUCUUCUGCUCAUGUACUAAUGUAAAGGUUUCACAAGGUAUGUUGGUUAUGUGGGCAUUCGUAUGAAGUUAUGUGAGCAUGCGCUAGGUAUGAAAAGUUUUGUUUUAGUUGAUUGACAUUGAGGAUUAAAAACCUUAAAUGUGCCAUCAUGUUUUUAGGCGGUGUGCUCCAGGUUUGGCAAAUAUUAACUAACACUACAUGAACAUGAAGAUAAUCUUGGUGCCGGGCAAGCCUCACAUAGAGGUACAAUAUUCUUGGCAUAUCAAUAAUCCGAUUUAAUUAAUGUUGUUUGCCGAUGUUGCUACUCUGUCUAAGUCAUGAGAGAAUAUUUCUGGUCAUGGUAUAAUUGGAUGCAAUUUUGUAUGGAGGAAUCAAUAGUGAAGAAUUCUAUCAAGCAUUUAACACUGUUCUAUGUGAAUGUACACUGGAAGGUUAUAUAUGUUCUCACCAAUCUCUUUCUGUAUUAUUGUUUUUGUUGAUUGCCAAAAUGCUUUCCUGUAUUCAUGUGUUACCCAGUUGGCCGAUCAUUUUAUUCAACACAACUUGGUGCGGGCUUGGAAAACUGUAGUGCCUUUUACGAGACCAUACAAUGCACUCAAAUAGGAAUAUCACUAAAUAUCGGUUAGAUGCCAAUCAUGACCUUGAUUUCAAAUUUCAUCUUUGUGAAGAGAAGUUUCCUCUUCCAAUAAUUAUGGCCACUUUGUAACGCUUGUUUGCAUAAAGGGUUCCAGUUGGUCAAGUGUUUGGCCAUGUAAUUUUCAUUCUUUGCUUUAAUUGAGCAGAGAUGAAGGAAGAGUAGCAACAACAGUAAGAUUGAUGAAAUGAUACAUAUAUGUGACCAAUCAGACUUGAUUUUGGACUCUAGCAACUACCCUUCUAAGCAAGCAUGCUUGGCGUUUGAUGCAGAUUUUUUUCAUAUGUACAAUUACUCUAUUUGAAGGAAUACUGGGAUAUUAAAGAUAAGUUGACUAUAGGCUGGUUAGAGUUUAUUUUGCAACAGAGGAACAUGGCAAAUUAAACCAAGUAGCAGGAUAUAUUUUACUGUUUGCUUUAAUUCAUGGUGGAAAUUGCUUAUGAAUUAGUUGAGAUAUGCAAGGGCAUGCUUCCUGCAAUUUUAUUGGAUGGUACGGUGUUAGGCUCACAAUGUAUGUUAAUAUAAAUGGUCCUUUAUUCAGCAUACCUCUUUCUUCAUUUGGUUUGGCUUUCCUCUGCUGGUCAUGUAUUAGCAAUAAAAACCCAAG